UCGGACGUGGUGUAGGGAACACCGCCUUUAACUGUAUAUGUGCUACUUCCAUUUGAACAGUGCCGGGGCAGUCUGGGGUUCGACUCCCCGCGUCCGAA